rnacentral:rRNA from 1 species
AUUGAACGCUGGCGGCAUGCUUUACACAUGCAAGUCGAACGGUAACAGGCCGCAAGGUGCUGACGAGUGGCGAACGGGUGAGUAAUGCAUCGGAACGUGCCCAGUCGUGGGGGAUAACUACUCGAAAGAGUAGCUAAUACCGCAUACGAUCUAUGGAUGAAAGCGGGGGACCGUAAGGCCUCGCGCGAUUGGAGCGGCCGAUGUCAGAUUAGGUAGUUGGUGGGGUAAAGGCUCACCAAGCCAACGAUCUGUAGCUGGUCUGAGAGGACGACCAGCCACACUGGGACUGAGACACGUCCCAGACUCCUACGGGAGGCAGCAGUGGGGAAUUUUGGACAAUGGGCGCAAGCCUGAUCCAGCAAUGCCGCGUGCAGGAAGAAGGCCUUCGGGUUGUAAACUGCUUUUGUACGGAACGAAACGGCUCUGGUUAAUACCCGGGGCUAAUGACGGUACCGUAAGAAUAAGCACCGGCUAACUACGUG